GAUGAACGCUGGCGGCGUGCCUAAUACAUGCAAGUCGAGCGAACAGACGAGGAGCUUGCUCCUCUGACGUUAGCGGCGGACGGGUGAGUAACACGUGGAUAACCUACCUAUAAGACUGGGAUAACUUCGGGAAACCGGAGCUAAUACCGGAUAAUAUAUUGAACCGCAUGGUUCAAUAGUGAAAGACGGUUUUGCUGUCACUUAUAGAUGGAUCCGCGCCGCAUUAGCUAGUUGGUAAGGUAACGGCUUACCAAGGCUACGAUGCGUAGCCGACCUGAGAGGGUGAUCGGCCACACUGGAACUGAGACACGGUCCAGACGCCUACGGGAGGCAGCAGUAGGGAAUCUUCCGCAAUGGGCGAAAGCCUGACGGAGCAGCGCCGCGUGAGUGAUGAAGGUCUUCGGAUCGUAAAACUCUGUUAUUAGGGGAGAACAAAUGUGUAAGUAACUAUGCACGUCUUGACGGUACCUAAUCAGAAAGCCACGGCUAACUACGUG
rnacentral:rRNA from 1 species